GAUCCCUGGCUCAGGACGAACGCUGGCGGCGUGCCUAAUACAUGCAAGUCGAGCGAACCACUUCGGUGGUUAGCGGCGGACGGGUGAGUAACACGUGGGCAACCUGCCUGUAAGACUGGGAUAACUUCGGGAAACCGGAGCUAAUACCGGAUAAUCCUUUUCCUCUCAUGAGGAAAAGCUGAAAGUCGGUUUCGGCUGUCACUUACAGAUGGGCCCGCGGCGCAUUAGCUAGUUGGUGAGGUAACGGCUCACCAAGGCGACGAUGCGUAGCCGACCUGAGAGGGUGAUCGGCCACACUGGGACUGAGACACGGCCCAGACUCCUACGGGAGGCAGCAGUAGGGAAUCUUCCACAAUGGACGAAAGUCUGAUGGAGCAACGCCGCGUGAGCGAUGAAGGCCUUCGGGUCGUAAAG
rnacentral:rRNA from 1 species